ACACCGAGGAGGUCCGGUUAAGAUGGCAAAGUUUUCGAAUUCUUGCUUUCUGGUCGUGUUGACCGCUUUGGUAGUCCUGGUCAUGAUACGAGAGGGCUCGUGUAUUCGUGCGAGGACAACCACUACUACCACUACUGCUCGCACUCCAAGUGACGAUAGCAGCCCAGAAAGCCCUCCACCAGGAUUCCCAGGAGGGCGGAGAAAUUCUAUUCCUGGUGGCGGCGGUGACAAGAACGAUGGUUGACGGACCAUCUCGAGUGGAAGCAGGACAGCUCGCGACCAAGAGGGGAAAAAUUACAAUAAAUAUUUCCAGCAACAUUCA